rnacentral:rRNA from 2 species
GAUGAACGCUGGCGGCGCGCCUAACACAUGCAAGUCGAACGAUUAAAGCACCUUCGGGUGUGUAUAAAGUGGCGAACGGCUGAGUAACACGUGGGCAACCUGCCCCUCUCAUUGGGAUAGCCACGGGAAACCGUGGAUAAUACCGAAUACUUCGAGACUUCCGCAUGGAAGACUCGAGAAAGCUCCGGCGGAGAGGGAUGGGCCCGCGGCCUGUUAGCUUGUUGGUGGGGUAACGGCCUACCAAGGCAAUGAUGGGUAGCUGGGUUGAGAGACCGACCAGCCAGAUUGGGACUGAGACACGGCCCAGACUCCUACGGGAGGCAGCAGUGGGGAAUCUUGCACAAUGGGCGAAAGCCUGAUGCAGCGACGCCGCGUGCGGGAUGAAGGCCUUCGGGUUGUAAACCGCUUUCAGCAGGGACGAGGCGAAAGUGACGGUACCUGCAGAAGA